CUUCGAGCACAUACAGAUGAUAGUAUUUUAGUUUCCAUUUGGUUUUCUUUUAUUCAGAACAUAGGUCGCUAAAUGUAGAGCUCAUCGCCGCUUCUUUCAACUGAAAGGCUUCAGAUGCUAGCAGGUGUGAGACUCUGAUGACGGGGGACACCUCAGCGUGGUGACCGGGUCACGUGCAUACCGGCGCAGGGAAGUCCGAGCGAAUUAUCGCUGCGGAUGUCCGCGGCCAGGCCCUGGAUGGCGCCGCGUCGGUGCGCGCGGCGACAGUGCACACAUUUGUGUCAUCCAUAUGUUAAGCAAGGUGUCGGCGUGACUCUAACGUACCCCACCUGGCCCUCGCACUGCCUACUGGUGGUGGGGAGCCUGAGCCACUCCGUGUGAUGCGCCAGGUGGCGGCCCGCGAGGCGGGGGUGGGUGGGUAGAGUCUGAGGCAGAGGCCGUGCUCCGAUGACUGGGCCGGCAUUGCACUAGCGAGUGUGUGUCUCCCGCUGCAGUGCGCCAGGCGAUGGGGCCUGUGACAGACAGGGGAUAGAGUGGAGCCCGACUCAUGUUGUAUUGGCAGAGAGUGGACACGCUGCAAAAAGUUGUAGAGAGGGAUCGAAACCCAGUGGAAACGAAUUUGCUCAGUUUGCGCUGAGCUCUUCAAUCAGCGAAUAAGUAGUGAAGCGCCACUUUCUGUUUGUAGAUGAGUGCCGUUCUCAGUUUACAGAGAGGCUGUUUUGUAUUGAUGACCC
rnacentral:misc_RNA from 1 species